AGCGGCGGACGGGUGAGUAACGCGUGGGUAACCUGCCUCAUACAGGGGGAUAACAGUUGGAAACGGCUGCUAAUACCGCAUAAGCGCACAGUACCGCAUGGUACCGUGUGGAAAACUCCGGUGGUAUGAGAUGGACCCGCGUCUGAUUAGGUAGUUGGUGGGGUAACGGCCUACCAAGCCGACGAUCAGUAGCCGACCUGAGAGGGUGACCGGCCACAUUGGGACUGAGACAUGGCCCAA
rnacentral:rRNA from 1 species